UACGGAGGGUGCAAGCGUUAUCCGGAUUCACUGGGUUUAAAGGGUGCGUAGGUGGGCUGGUAAGUCAGUGGUGAAAUCUCCGGGCUUAACCCGGAAACUGCCAUUGAUACUAUCUGUCUUGAAUACCGUGGAGGUGAGCGGAAUAUGUCAUGUAGCGGUGAAAUGCUUAGAUAUGACAUAGAACACCAAUUGCGAAGGCAGCUCACUACACGAAUAUUGACACUGAGGCACGAAAGCGUGGGGAUCAAACAGG
rnacentral:rRNA from 1 species